rnacentral:tRNA from 4 species
GACAGUUUGGCCGAGUGGUUAAGGCGGCAGACUCGAAAUCUGCUGGGUUCGCCCGCACAGGUUCAAAUCCUGUAGCUGUCG